CCCUUAGAUGUCCAGGGCCGCACGCGCGCUACACUGAGUGUCUGAGAUACGAGUCUGCCUGGUCCGGCAAGGUCUAGGUAAUCGCUAAAAGACACAUCAUGCUUGGGAUAGAUUAUUGCAAAUAUUAAUCUUGAACGAGGAAUUCCUAGUAAGCGCAAGUCAACAGCUUGCGUUGAUUACGUCCCUGCCCUUUGUACACACCGCCCGUCGCUACUACUGAUUGGAUGUUUAAGCGAGGUUCUCGAACUGCUAGCGACUUAGCUUCGGUGAGGUCGCAGUGUGGGAAGUGAACCUAGCUUUGGUGUCUAGAGGAAGUAAAAGUCGUAACA
rnacentral:rRNA from 1 species